rnacentral:rRNA from 1 species
UUGGACGCUGGCGGCAGGCCUAACACAUGCAAGUCGAGCGGAUGACGGGAGCUUGCUCCUUGAUUCAGCGGCGGACGGGUGAGUAAUGCCUAGGAAUCUGCCUGGUAGUGGGGGACAACGUUUCGAAAGGAACGCUAAUACCGCAUACGUCCUACGGGAGAAAGCAGGGGACCUUCGGGCCUUGCGCUAUCAGAUGAGCCUAGGUCGGAUUAGCUAGUUGGUGGGGUAAUGGCUCACCAAGGCGACGAUCCGUAACUGGUCUGAGAGGAUGAUCAGUCACACUGGAACUGAGACACGGUCCAGACUCCUACGGGAGGCAGCAGUGGGGAAUAUUGGACAAUGGGCGAAAGCCUGAUCCAGCCAUGCCGCGUGUGUGAAGAAGGUCUUCGGAUUGUAAAGCACUUUAAGUUGGGAGGAAGGGCAGUAAGUUAAUACCUUGCUGUUUUGACGUUACCGACAGAAUAAGCACCGGCUAACUCUGUGCCAGCCGCCGCAGUAA